rnacentral:lncRNA from 1 species
CCCUGGGAGCCUCAGGGCCCUUCUCUCCACAGAGCCCUCGUGGAGCAGCCAGGUGGCCCUGGCGGUCUUAAAAACAAGCUUGGUCUCCUAAAUUCAGAAAACUCUGCCUGCUUGGGACCCACCUCUGCCCUGGAAGAAGAGAAAGAGGCAGUGGAGACACCCCCCUCCCCACCCCUCCACCGUGUUCAUUGGUACAACGGGUCGCCUGAGUCACAGCCGGGCGCAGAGUCCACUGAGGACCCAGGAAGCUGCUGUGAAGACUGCAGGAUCAGGGCAGUGCCGGUCAGGAGAUGUCUGGAGUAGCAAAUAGGUGAGUUCCUCACGGCUCAGAGCCUGGUGGAUCAGCCAGCACCAUCCACAUCAUCUGAGGCAGGUUAGAAAUGCAAACGCAGGCCCCUCCCAGGCCCUCCUGAAUCAGAAACUGCAUUUUAACGAGAUCCCCAGCAUUGGACUUAGAAGAUGGCUGAGCAG